rnacentral:rRNA from 1 species
AGUGAACGCUGGCGGUAGGCCUAACACAUGCAAGUCGAACGGCAGCACAGUAAGAGCUUGCUCUUACGGGUGGCGAGUGGCGGACGGGUGAGGAAUACAUCGGAAUCUACUUUUUCGUGGGGGAUAACGUAGGGAAACUUACGCUAAUACCGCAUACGACCUACGGGUGAAAGCAGGGGAUCUUCGGACCUUGCGCGAUUGAAUGAGCCGAUGUCGGAUUAGCUAGUUGGCGGGGUAAAGGCCCACCAAGGCGACGAUCCGUAGCUGGUCUGAGAGGAUGAUCAGCCAAACUGGAACUGAGACACGGUCCAGAAUCCUAAGGGAGGCAGCAGUGGGGAAUAUUGGAAAAUGGGCGCAAGCCUGAUCCAGCCAUACCGCGUGGGUGAAGAAGGCCUUCGGGUUGUAAAGCCCUUUUGUUGGGAAAGAAAAGCAGCAGGUUAAUACCCCGCUGUUCUGACGGUACCCAAAGAAUAAGCACCGGCUAACUUCGUG